rnacentral:rRNA from 1 species
AACGAACGCUGGCGGCAGGCUUAACACAUGCAAGUCGAGCGCAUCCUUCGGGGUGAGCGGCAGACGGGUGAGUAACGCGUGGGAAUGUACCCUUUGCUACGGAAUAGCUCCGGGAAACUGGAAUUAAUACCGUAUGAGCCCCUCGGGGGAAAGAUUUAUCGGCAAAGGAUCAGCCCGCGUUGGAUUAGCUAGUCGGUGGGGUAAAGGCCUACCAAGGCGACGAUCCAUAGCUGGUCUGAGAGGAUGAUCAGCCACAUUGGGACUGAGACACGGCCCAAACUCCUACGGGAGGCAGCAGUGGGGAAUAUUGGACAAUGGGCGCAAGCCUGAUCCAGCCAUGCCGCGUGAGUGAUGAAGGCCUUAGGGUUGUAAAGCUCUUUCAGUAGGGAAGAUAAUGACGGUACCUACAGAAGAAGCCCCGGCUAACUUCGUGCCAGCCGCCGCGGUAA